UACGGGGGGGCAAGCGGUUGUUCGGAUUCAUUGGGCGUAAAGGGUGUGUAGGUGGCGCGCUAAGUCGGGUGUGAAAUUUCGGAGCUUAACUCCGAAACUGCAUUCGAUACUGGCGUGCUUGAGGACUGGAGAGGAGACUGGAAUUUACGGUGUAGCAGUGAAAUGCGUAGAUAUCUGGAAGAACACCGGUGGCGAAGGCGGUGGUCUGGGCCGUUACUGACGCUGAGGAGCGAAAGCCAGGGGAGCGAACGGG
rnacentral:rRNA from 1 species